AUACGGAGGGUGCAAGCGUUAUCCGGAUUUAUUGGGUUUAAAGGGUGCGCAGGCGGCGAUGUAAGUCAGUGGUGAAAGGCUGCCGCUUAACGGUAGGACUGCCAUUGAUACUGCAUUGCUUGAGUAUGAUUGAGGUAAGCGGAAUGUGUGGUGUAGCGGUGAAAUGCAUAGAUAUCACACAGAACACCGAUUGCGAAGGCAGCUUACUAAGCCAUUACUGACGCUGAGGCACGAAAGCGUGGGUAGCGAACAGAAUUAGAAACCCUAGUAGUCC
rnacentral:rRNA from 1 species